rnacentral:rRNA from 1 species
GUCCUAGAAGUCCGCCUUUUAUCACUGGAGUGUUCAGAUAAUGACCAGUCUCGCGCAUAAGGCAUGAUAUAGGCUCUUAGGCAUGGCUUAUGUCUUCCGGGGGCCCAAUGAUUAUCGAUUGCCUAUCCAGUCGUCCACACCCCGGUAAACAAAGGUGGCGCGUAUCGGAUUUUGGCUAAGCGGGUUAGGGGAAUUUAGUCGGAUGGAAGCCCGAGCCACUGAACUGCAUCCCGAUACUGAUAUCUAGAGUAUGUAGAGGGAAGUGGAUUCCCGUGUAAGCGUGAAAUGCGUAGAAUUCGGAAGGAACAUCAGUGGCGAGGGCGACUUCCUGGACCAAUACUGACACUGAGACGGGAAAGCCGUGGGAGCAAACAGGAUUAGAGACCCUGGUAGUCCCGCCGUCAACGAUGAGAACUAGCUGUUGGGACCUUGAGUCUUAGUAGCGCAGCUAACGCGAUAAGUUCUCCGCCUGGGGAGUACGGCCGCAAGGCUAAAACUCAAAGGAAUGACGGGGGCCCGCACAAGCGGUGGAGCAUGUGGUUUAAUUCGAUGCAACGCGAAGAACCUUACCUACUCUUGACAUCCUUGGAAUUCUCUAGAGAUAGAGAAGUGCCUUCGGGAACCAAGUGACAGGUGCUGCAUGGCUGUCGUCAGCUCGUGUCGUGAGAUGUUGGGUUAAGUCCCGUAACGAGCGCAACCCUCACCCUUAGUUGCCAUCAGCUUGGCUGGGAACUCUAAGGGGACUGCCGGUGAUAAACCGGAGGAAGGUGGGGAUGAUGUCAAGUCAUCAUGGCCCUUACGAGUAGGGCUACACACGUGCUACAAUGGGCAGUACAAAGGGUUGCUAAGCCGCGAGGUGGAGCUAAUCCCAUAAAGCUGCUCUUAGUCCGGAUUGGAGUCUGCAACUCGACUCCAUGAAGUUGGAAUCGCUAGUAAUCGCGAAUCAGAAUGUCGCGGUGAAUACGUUCCCGGGCCUUGUACACACCGCCCGUCACACCACGGGAGUGGGUUGUACCAGAAGCGGGUAGGCUAACCUUCGGGAGGCCGCUCACCACGGUAUGAUUCAUGACUGGGGUGAAGUCGUAACAAGGUAA